GCCUUCCAUAUUGAAAUUCUUAGGUUCUUCCUUUUACGUAUGCCUAAAUCAUUUCUAAAAUGAUAAUAAACAUCAAGAUAUCCUAGAUACCUAUGUUUACAUCAGAUACUCCAAAUCUCUCAGUAACAUCCUGAAUUUAUCAGUCCUGAUAACACUGCAUUUCACAUUAACAUUUUUUUUCUUCUAGCCAAGGUCAUAAACAUCACCAAACCAGACAUGAAAAACAUGAAGGAACAACAGAAUGGAAGAGAUUGUAGGAACUAACAAAUCACUCAUAAACAUUCUUGGUACAAAUAGAGAUGGAGAAAGAUUGAGAAGCACUAGAAACACUAUCUCAACUAAGUGCAACAGGAAACUAAAAAAAAAAAAUUAAAAUAAAAUAAAAAGAAAGAAAAAGGAAAAGUAUAUU
rnacentral:lncRNA from 1 species